AGUCUGGUACACAUUUCUUUUUGUGUCCUGUGGGCUCUAAUCAUUGUCCUUAAGUAUUUCUGGGGAAGCCAGGUAUUGGGCUCUGUUUCAGUGAGUCAUUUCCGAAGCUCAUAGGCCUCAGCUGUAGCCUGGAAGGAGGCAGGUGUGGUCCCGUGUACGGGGACGCUGCCUCUUGCAUGGCCUCCUGCAGUGCCUGAGCGUCCUGCAGGAGGCGCCCGAGCCCAGGCCCUGCUCAAGGGCUGGGAAGGCUCAGUAGGCCUCGUCCACCUGCAAUAACAGGAGCCCACCUGUGCUGGGGAGGCCUGAGGAGGACAUGGGGACGCAUCCACGCUGAUGAGCCCCGGUCUCCUCAGGAACCGCGGUGAGGCUUCAGGAAGAUGUGAGCCCGCAUCCACCCUGACAGGAACACCUGGGCCGCUUCAGGACCUGCAGGGAGGCUUCAGGAAGCUGUGGUGCCACUUCCACUCUGGCAGGAGCUCCCGGGCCGCUCAGGACAUAAGUUGAGGCUUCUGGAAGGUGGGGGCCGCAUCCACGGUGUCAGGAGCCCUGGCCUCCUCAGAACCCGCAGUGACGUUAUGGGAGGACAUGGGGCCACGCCCACACCACAACGCUGACGUCUUCAGAACCCCCGGUGUAGACUUCGGGAAAUAUGGGGAUGCUUCCAUGCAGACAGAAGACCCCAGCCUUGUCAGGGCCUGUGGUGAGGCAUAAGAAAGAUGUGGGUGCCGAAUCCACACUGACAGGAGUCUCUGGCCUCCUCAGGACCUGCCCUUUGGCUUCGGGAUAUAUGGGGCUGUGUUUAUGCUGACAGGAGCCCACAGCCCCCUCAGGACCCGCGGUGAGUUUUCUGGGGGCCAUGGGGCCAUGUCCAGGCUUACAGGAGCCCUCGGCCUCCUGAGGACCUGCUGUGAGGCUUCCAGAGGAUGUGAGGCAUAGUCCACAGUGACAGGAGACCCGGCGUCCUCAGGACCUGCUGACUAUGACUCAGGAACACGUGGGGCCACGUCCACACUCACAGGAUCCUGGCUUCCGCAGGACCCCCUGGAGGACUCUGGAGGCGCCAUUGGGGGCCACGUCCACAUCAGAAGGGACUCCUCAGAACCACAGGAUGUUCAUCUGCUUUGCUUCUUUAAUUCCACCUAUGAAUGACACCACACGGUCAUUCUCUUUUCCGACUGACCUAUUUCACUUAAGAUGAUCCCUCUACUUCUACCCACGUCAUUGCAAAUGGCAAGAUUUCCUGCUCUUUGAUAGGUGAGUACCAUUCCGCUCUCUAUGGCCAUCAUCUAUCUCACAUCCUCUUUAUCCAUCAUCUGCCAGAGGGCACCGAGGGUCCUCCCAUAUUGUGGCUACUGUGGACCUGGCUGCUGUGGACAUUGGGGUGCCGUUGUCCCACGUCUCACUGCAUCUGUAUCUUCGGAGUGAGCUCCAGGCUUUACACAUGCGGGUCGCAGGGCAGCUCUAUUUGUAACUUCCGGAGGAGCCUCCACACUGUUUCCAUGGUGUCUGCACCAGCCCGCCGUCCCGCCCACAGUGGAAGAGGGUUGAGUGAGUUUUACAGGACGUGGUAAAAGUCUGGUCCACAUUUCAUUUUGCGUCUUUUGGGCUCCAAUUCUUUAUCCUUAAGUAUUUUUGGGGAAGCUGUGUGUUGGGCUCCUUUUCAGUCAGACAUUUCCGAAUCUAACAGGCCACAGAUGGAGCCUGGUAGGAGGCAGAGGUGGGCCCCGGGAUGAGCACGUGCCUCCUUCACAGCCUCCUGUAGUGCCUGAGGAUCCCGCAGGGGGCGCCCAAGCCCAGGCACCGCCCAAGGGGCAGACAUGUGCAGUAGGCCUCGCCUCCCUGCACUAACAUGAGCCAGCCUGUGCUGGGGAGGCCUGAGGAAGAUGUGGGGACAUGUCCAUGCUGAUGAGCCACAGCCUCCUCAGAAUGUGCGGGGAGUCUUCAGGGGGAUAUUGCACAGCGUUCACGCUGACAGGAGCCCCGGUCUCCUCAGGACACACGGUGAAGCUUCAGGAAGAUGUGGGCCCACAUCCACCCUGACAGGAGUCCUUGGGCUGCUUCAGGACCUGCGGGGAGGCUUCAGGGAAUUGUGGGCCCGCACCCACCCUGACAGGAGCCCCUGGGCUGCCUCAGGACCCGCGGGGAGGCUUCAGUAAGAUGUGGGCCCCCAUCCACCCUCACAGGAGCCCCUGGGCCGCCUCAGAACAUGUGGGGAGGCUUCUGAAAGAUGGUGCGCCGCGUCCACUCUGGCAGGAGCUAACUGGCCCCUCAGGACAUAAGUUGAGUCUUCUGGAAGCUGGGGGCCGCAUCCACAGUGACAGGAGCCUCGGCCACCUCAGAGGGCCGCUUCAGGACCUGCAGUGAUGCUUCGGGAGGACGUGGGGCCAUGUCCACACAACCAGACGCUGAUGUCCUCAGGACCCCCGGUGUAGACUUCGGGAAAUAUGGAGAUGCGUCCAUGCGGACAGAAGACCCCAGCCUUGUCAGAGCCUGUGGUGAGGCCUAAGAAAAAUGUGGAUGCCGAAUCCACACUGACAGAAGUCUCCAGCCUCCUCAGGACACGCUGUGAAUGAUUCGGAUGAUUUGGGGCCACGUCCAUUCUGACAAGAGCCCCCAGCCUCCUCAGGUCUUAUGGUGAGGCUGUGGAAAAUGUGGGGCCACGUCAAGACUGAGAGGACCCGCGUCCUCCUCAGGACCUGCACUUUGUCUUCGGGACACAUGAGGCUGCGUCUAGGCUGACAGGAACCCACAGCCUCCUCAGGACCGCGGUGAGUUUUCAGGGGACAUGGGGCCAUGUCCAGGCUGACAGGACCCCCCGGCCUCCUGAGAACCUGCUGUGAGGCUUCCAGAGGAUGUGAGGCAUCCAGAAGGAUGUUCCUCCUCCUUCCAGAGGAGGCAUACUCCACGUUGAGAGGAGACCCGGAGUACUCAGGACCCACUGACUAUGACUCUGGAACACGUGGGGCCACGUCCGCAUUCACAGGAGCCCGGCUUCCUCAGGACCCCCUGGAGGACUCUGGAGGCGACGUUGGGGGCCACGUCCAUGUCAGAAGGGACUCCUCAGAACCAUAGGCAUUUCAUUGUAUGCGGGAGAGUAGCGGAGUGAGAACCAAGUGUCUGCCUUGUCAAUUUCACGCCUAGCGGACAGCUGCCUCCAAGGCAUGCACACUCCUUUGGUUGAGCUUAUGGCUUGUAAAGCCCACAUGCUGACCGCCUGUACGCUUCGCUUCCAAAGGAUAUCGUUCGAUACGGGACAGAAGUUUUGCGAGAGGCAAAUGUGUCUUAGUUCAAUCCAGCAACUUCUGAGGAAUUCCUCCCUCAGAUGGGAGCUACGUACUAACUUCCAAAACUGAGUACCUAGCUGAAAGCUCUCUCUCUGGGGAACUUCUCCCUCGGAGAUGAACUGAAACGUGGUCCUUCCCAGUUCCACACUGCCUGCAGAUGCAGUUACAAACAUCCUCACUAGACAUGUUUUUCACAAGAUCAUGAAAUGCAAGGGGCAAACUGCAGGCUUCAAAGUUGUGUGUCCGGGUGCAGUAAAGCGGUAUUCAUGGAGCAUCCUGAAUUACAAUGCUGCCACGUUCUCAUGGCCAUCAGAACGCAGUUAGUAGAAACCUGGCUUCGAGGCAUGCUUCCAUUUGAAAGCUGAGCUCAGAGCAGGAUCCUCCCGCAUCCUGCCUGCCCGUAGUCGUAGAUGCUAACAUCCUUAUGUUAGGUGCUGGGAGAGGUUGGAGAAAUGCAAGUGGAAGUGUCA